rnacentral:rRNA from 1 species
UACGGAGGGUGCAAGCGUUAUCCGGAUUCACUGGGUUUAAAGGGUGCGUAGGCGGGUUUUUAAGUCAGCGGUGAAAGCUCCGAGCUCAACUCGGAAAUUGCCGUUGAUACUAUUAAUCUUGAAUUUAGUUGAGGUGGGCGGAAUGUGUAGUGUAGCGGUGAAAUGCUUAGAUAUGACAUAGAACACCAAUUGCGCAGGCAGCUUACUACACAGUAAUUGACACUGAGGCACGAAAGCGUGGGGAUCAAACAGG